rnacentral:rRNA from 1 species
UAAGAAAGACAGAUCGCAUGAUCAGCUUUAAAAGGUCGGCGUAAAGCUGUCGCUAUGGGGAUGGGCCCCGCGGUGCAUUAGCUAGUUGGCAAGGUAAAGGCUUACCAAGGGCGAUGAUGCAUAGCCCGAGUUGAGAGACUGAUCGGCCACAUUGGGGACUGAGACACGGCCCAAACUCCUACGGGAGGCAGCAGUAGGGAAUCUUCCACAAUGGACGCAAGUCUGAUGGAGCAAACGCCGCGUGAGUGAAGAAGGUUUUCGGAUCGUAAAGCUCUGUUGUUGGUGAAGAAGGAUAGAGGUAGUAACUGGCCCUUUAUUUGACGGUAAUCAGCCCAGAAAGUCACGGGCUAACUACGUGCCCAGCAGCCGCGGUAAAU